rnacentral:rRNA from 1 species
UACAGAGGGUGCGAGCGUUAAUCGGAAUUACUGGGCGUAAAGCGCGCGUAGGCGGUUUUGUAAGUCGGGUGUGAAAUCCCCAAGCUUAACUUGGGAACUGCAUUCGAGACUGCAUAGCUAGAGUAUGGGAGAGAGAAGUGGAAUUUCCGGUGUAGCGGUGAAAUGCGUAGAUAUCGGAAGGAACAUCAGUGGCGAAAGCGACUUCUUGGACCAAUACUGACGCUCAAGUGCGAAAGCGUGGGGAGCAAACAGG